AUGAACGCUGGCGGCGUGCCUAAUACAUGCCGGUCGAGCGAACGGACGAGAAGCUUGCUUUUCUGAUGUUAGCGGCGGACGGGUGGGUAACACGUGGAUAACCUACCUAUAAGACUGGGAUAACUUCGGGAAACCGGAGCUAAUACCGGAUAAUAUUUUGAACCGCAUGGUUCAAAAGUGAAAGACGGUCUUGCUGUCACUUAUAGAUGGAUCCGCGCUGCAUUAGCUAGUUGGUAAGGUAACGGCUUACCAAGGCAACGAUGCAUAGCCGACCUGAGAGGGUGAUCGGCCACACUGGAACUGAGACACGGUCCAGACUCCUACGGGAGGCAGCAGUAGGGAAUCUUCCGCAAUGGGCGAAAGCCUGACGGAGCAACGCCGCGUGAGUGAUGAAGGUCUUCGGAUCGUAAAACUCUGUUAUUAGGGAAGAACAUAUGUGUAAGUAACUGUGCACAUCUUGACGGUACCUAAUCAGAAAGCCACGGCUAACUACGUG
rnacentral:rRNA from 1 species